CCGGAACCCCCUUUUAAUCACCCUACUCCUGAAAAGCAGCGCACGAAAUGCCGCGUAAAGCCCUGCCCGGAGCCCCCGAGCCCGUCCUGCAGAAGUUGGUCUGUUCGUGAUAAAAAGAUGAAAGCCUUGGUCGUGCUUUGCAGCAAAUUUCAUGUAACACGCAAGGGGAACUGAAGCAGAAACCAAAGCCAAGGCAAAGCAGCAUCUGACCUUGUCACUGGGGGGCAGAAAACAGCCGCUGCUUCCACUGGUGCUUCCAUCAAGCUCCCUGGGCAAUGUGGAAUUGCAGAGAGCUCACAAAGUGCAAGUUCCUUCCAGGUCCGUGGGGUGAAUAAAAAUUGUUAAUUCUUGG